UAAUGGCGACGACACCGUGCAUAUGAUUCUAUCUGCCGAUCUUCAUCUUCCUCUGAUCUACCUUUUCAUUUGCUCCUCUCAUUAACAUAUAACAUCUUUGCUUUGUAUUAAUUAUCACCACUUGAUUUCAUGUUAAUAAUUGUUGUGUAUGUUUGUUAGGGUUUUUCCAAUCCUAUUCUCUAUUUUGCCCAAAUCAAGAUAAGGGUUCUUUUAUUUUCGAUCAACGAUUAUUAUAUAAUGCAUCCAUCAAAGUAGAAAAUAUGUUAUUUUUUGGUUUCAAGUUCUCGGUUUUGCUUUAAUAAGGCCGAAUAACCGACCCGGAAAACCCGAGCUCGGACCGAAAUGCUUGCAUGUCAGUUGCUCUUCGGUUUCUGAUCUGGAUACUAAAUUACUAAUUCUUUUCGGUUUGGUUCGUGUGUUUGGACCGAGGAAAACUGAACACUUGAAGACCGGCCCGAACUUAUAGUUUACGAUAAAGAAAGAUAUUUGUUCAUUGAAACAAAUAAACCUGGUAUUGAAUAUUUUUGUAGUUAUGAACAAUAUGUUUAUGAUCUAAUUUAUAAUGCAAGAACUUCAUUUUUCAAGUAUGUGUCUAAUUAAAUUGUUUCGCAACUUUUUUGCCCAACUUUAUAUAGAUCAGUGUCAUGUGCUUCACUAUGCGGUGUAUGCCGUUUAUUUAAGAUGCUUAUAAAAAACUUAUUCACCUACUUUAACAUAAUGAAUCUUAAUGUUUAUAAAUGAAGCUAAAAAUGAUACGAGUAGCAUAAACUUCUACUCAUGGAUGUGUCAACUAAAAUGGAUGUCAUUUUUUUCUAUUGCAGUAACAAGCCCAUUCAAAUAAGCAUUAUAAGAUACAACUUGUGUAUUAUAUAACACAGCAAAGACAUGUACAUUACCUGCAUGAAUAAUAUAUUGCUGAUUUUUUAAUUUGGUUUAGUGUAAAAAUGUUAAGAUUGGGUGUUUUAAUGAUCAUCAUCAUCAUCAUACUCAGUAAAUCCCACCAAUAGCAAAGCUAAGGUAGACAGCCUUACCUCUACCCCGUAAGAAUAGAGAGGCUGCUUCCAGUGAGACCCUCAGCUCGAAUUUAAACGAUGUUGAAUUAAAUUCGAUGUUGAAUGAUAAUUUAAAGAAACUUUAUGUUGAAUUAAAGCAUAUAUUAAUUUUUUAAACGAUGCUUACAUUUAUUGACAAGCCAUUAAUAGUAAGUGAUUGAUUUUCACCUUAUGUAAUUGUGAUAUGUGGUUGCUUUUUGCAUAAAACCCAAACUAUAAAAAUAUGAUUGUGAAUAUAUUGAAAUGGAUCCCUGAGUGUAAGCUCAACUAGGAUUGUUAAAUUUGCACCUUCACCACUAUUAGAAAAGUUUUAUUAUUGAUUGCCGGAUAAACCAUAUUCAUUUUUGUAUAUUGUAUAUAAUUAACAAAUUAUUGCCAUCAUGAAAUUUGUUUUUAUUUGCGGAUUACAUCUCAAAUAUAAUUCAAUAGGAAACCCAUUCUAAAUGAAUUUGAGUCUUUCAAUGACAUAAUGCUAAAAUAUUUUCUUUUUUUCUUGAUAUUUUGUCUCUUAUAAUGCCAUGUUUUUAUUGCUUAUUUUCGUUCUUUUGAUUUGUCCUAACUUGCAUAUAAGAUUCAUGGGAAAAUAAGUGAAGGUGACUUUGCUUUAUCAACUAGGUAAACAUAACUAAGGUGGCAACCGGUGAGUGAAACGCCAUUCACUUUCUUCUUGUGCAAUCUAGAUAUAGUUUUAUCACAGCUGUGAAACUAUAUCUCUUGAAGAUGCACUUCUCAACACCCAGGUGAUUCAUGCACCAACAUCACUGUUGCAUCUGCUGCAAGCUAACAGGAGAAGGCUCUACGCGAAGCCUAGACCAAAACCCAAAAAAGCACUAGAAAUGUUGCUGUUGCAAAGAUCUCGAAGCUUUUAGGCGAGCGGUUGCUACUCAAAGACACCCCGAAUGAUUCUGUUGUCUACAAAAAAGAUCAAAGAUAUCAUGGUAAGGUGAGAGGAAUCAGUGAUUUGUUAACGCAACUUACUAACAAUUGAAAAGCAAUUAUACUAAUAUUAGAAGUAAGAUAUCAGUUAAUGUUUUCUACAUGUCAGAUUGUAUUACGUUAAUAUGUUAUUUUAUUUAAUUAUAAUCUAAAGCUUUAUAGUAUUUUUAUUG
rnacentral:lncRNA from 1 species